GGUUGAAUAACAUAAGUUGGUUAAUGUAUUCGAUUGCAAAUCGUAUGAUAUUGGUUCAAGUCCAAUUUUAACCU
rnacentral:tRNA from 1 species